CUUCUUUCGCCGGGUGGUUGUUAAGGGGUUUCUCGGUCCAUUCGCUUUCAUAUGUCUCCAUGGCUUCUGCUGGAGCUGCGUGCUUCUCCUUCUUCAAAGGCCUAACUACAUUUGCCGUCUUCCACUCGACUGGUGUGUCUCCUCCAUGGGCCGCUGUUGCUAGCGCCGUUGAUGUCUUGCCUCCUGCUAUGUCUUUCUUGUGCUCCGGGGGGCGCUGGUCGGGUGUCCUGGUGGUGACUCCUACAUGGACGGCUUCUUCUCCUGUGGCAUUGUCUGGUACCGGUGUCUUAUGCACUCCCGACCUUUCUGCUGGUUG
rnacentral:lncRNA from 1 species